UCGUCUUGACUAUUUUUAGAUAUUUUUUGAGAAUUUCUGAUAUAUCGUGAAAAAAUUAGUUGGGUAUAAAUUUGUGAUAGUUCUAAGUUUCUGUUUCAAGUAUGGCUUGUGUGAUCAAGUGGUGUAAAUCUCAUUCAGGGAGGAAAGAAAACACGCAGGAGGUUAUAACAUUUCAUCGGCAAAUAAUCCAGUGCCUAUGGAUAUAUAUGAUACCGAACAAAUAGACACGUCCACUCCGAAUGCAUCAGGUUCACAGAUAAAUACUGAUAUCCCCUUGGAACUACUAAAUGAUCCAGUGCAUGAUGUGCCUAUGGAUAUAUGUGAUGCCGCAAAAAUAGAAAUGUCCAGUCCGAAUGUAUCAGGCACACGGAUAAAUACUGAAAACCCC